UCUUAAGCUUCAACCUUUUAACAAUAUUCCCUCGGGUUCUGGCUGAAAUCUCCAGUGAGUGGGCAGUCACCAAAACCGAACAAACUGGGCAAAGUCGCCUAAGAUAACACAGCUGACUGGAAACCAGCCCUGAUCUGCAGAGCCCAGGCUGUCAGCCCCAGCUGUGGGAUGACACCCUGUGUCCCUGGUCCCUCUCACAUUCAGCCAAUAAGAAAGGUGGCAGGAUGCUGAAGGAGAAGCGGUCAUGUUGGUGGAAAGAGCUGGGAUGAGAUGUUCCAGGCCGACAGGCAGGAAGUGAGCAGAGAAGCCUUUGGAGGUCUGAGUGCCCAGCAAAUACCCACGGGGCUGCUUGGCCUCUACCAUCCAAAACACUUAAGACGCGGUGUGCGUCUCGGUGCGCAUGCGCAUCAGAGCCGACGGGGCUGAGACAGAUGAGCUGAAAGGUGAGUGUAUCCACGACUGUGCUGCUGUGGCAAUGAGGGGGAGACCCACUGUGCUUCAGAGUUCAAGAGUUUUCAGUACAAUGGCAGAGUAAAGUGGUUCACUCCAUGAUGGUCAAGAAGCCUGGCCUACUAGAAGGUGCCCCGACAGGCAGGACUAGUGUACAUGGUAUGUUCUAGGUCAGCCAGGACUAGGUAGAAUGACCCUGCUC
rnacentral:lncRNA from 1 species